rnacentral:rRNA from 1 species
UUUGUUGGGCGUAAAGCGAGCGCAGGCGGUUAGAUAAGUNUGAAGUUAAAGGCUGUGGCUUAACCAUAGUACGCUUUGGAAACUGUUUAACUUGAGUGCAGAAGGGGAGAGUGGAAUUCCAUGUGUAGCGGUGAAAUGCGUAGAUAUAUGGAGGAACACCGGUGGCGAAAGCGGCUCUCUGNUCUGUAACUGACGCUGAGGCUCGAAAGCGUGGGGAGCGAACAGGAUUAGAUACCCUGGUAGUNCACGCCGUAAACGAUGAGUGCUAGGUGUUAGGCCCUUUCCGGGGCUUAGUGCCGCAGCUAACGCAUUAAGCACUCCGCCUGGGGAGUACGACCGCAAGGUUGAAACUCAAAGGAAUUGACGGGGGCCCGCACAAGCGGUGGAGCAUGUGGUUUAAUUCGAAGCAACGCGAAGAACCUUACCAGGUCUUGACAUCCCGAUGCCCGUUCUAGAGAUAGAGUUUUACUUCGGUACAUCGGUGACAGGUGGUGCAUGGUUGUCGUCAGCUCGUGUCGUGAGAUGUUGGGUUAAGUCCCGCAACGAGCGCAACCCUUAUUGUUAGUUGCCAUCAUUCAGUUGGGCACUCUAGCGAGACUGCCGGUAAUAAACCGGAGGAAGGUGGGGAUGACGUCAAAUCAUCAUGCCCCUUAUGACCUGGGCUACACACGUGCUACAAUGGCUGGUACAACGAGUCGCAAGUCGGUGACGGCAAGCUAAUCUCUUAAAGCCAGUCUCAGUUCGGAUUGUAGGCUGCAACUCGCCUACAUGAAGUCGGAAUCGCUAGUAAUCGCGGAUCUGCACGCCGCGGUGAAUACGUUCCCGGGCCUUGUACACACCGCCCGUCACACCACGAGAGUUUGUAACACCCGAAGUCGGUGAGGUAACCUUUUAGGAGCCANCC